rnacentral:misc_RNA from 1 species
ACACAAGAAGCAAAUGACAUCCACCAUGCAAACUUUACCAAUACAACGGCAUUCAUUUACAUCAGAAACCUUAGAUCUUGAAGCGUUACAGUGGUGAUCACAACUCCAGACACUCAAAUACGGGUCACCGAAUCUCCUGAGAGAAGACAGCGCAUCACCGACGGUUGCAGAGACGGAGAGAGACCUAAGCGCAGGCUUUCCAAGGCAUAGGUCAGAUACCUCGCGGGCCAGUAAACUCACUGCCAUGCACAGAAAGAUGGAGGUGUAGAGGAGAGGAGAGGAGAGGACAGGCGAGUUUGCAAUUGGUGGGAGUGAA